GGCCGCCUGGCGAAAUGGCAUCGCGUCUGACUACGAUAUUUACCGUUUAUCAGGACAUUGCAGGUUUGACCCCUGCGGUGGUCA